rnacentral:rRNA from 1 species
AUUGAACGCUGGCGGCAUGCUUUACACAUGCAAGUCGGACGGCAGCGCGGGCUUCGGCCUGGCGGCGAGUGGCGAACGGGUGAGUAAUACAUCGGAACGUGCCCAGUAGUGGGGGAUAGCUCGGCGAAAGCAGGAUUAAUACCGCAUACGACCUGAGGGUGAAAGCGGGGGACCUUAGGGCCUCGCGCUAUUGGAGCGGCCGAAGGCAGUUUAGCUAGUUGGUGGGGUAAAGGCCUACCAAGGCGGCAAGCUGUAGCUGGUCUGAGAGGACGACCAGCCACACUGGGACUGAGACACGGCCCAGACUCCUACGGGAGGCAGCAGUGGGGAAUUUUGGACAAUGGGCGCAAGCCUGAUCCAGCAAUGCCGCGUGUGUGAUGAAGGCCUUCGGGUUGUAAAGCACUUUUGGCAGGAACGAAAAGUGCCGUGCUAAUACCACGGUACGAUGACGGUACCUGCAGAAUAAGCACCGGCGAACUACGU